UACAGAGGUCUCAAGCGUUGUUCGGAUUCAUUGGGCGUAAAGGGUGCGUAGGCGGCGCGGUAAGUCGGGUGUGAAAUCUCGGGGCUUAACUCCGAAACUGCAUUCGAUACUGCCGUGCUUGAGGACUGGAGAGGAGACUGGAAUUUACGGUGUAGCGGUGAAAUGCGUAGAUAUCGUAAGGAAGACCAGUGGCGAAGGCGGCCACCUAGCCCGCACCUGACGCUGAGGCGCGACAGCGUGGGGAGCGAACUGG
rnacentral:rRNA from 1 species